rnacentral:lncRNA from 1 species
CGCGGCUCGGAGCCGCGCCCCGAUCCGGCACCAGAGGGCGCCCUUGCACCAGGAUCCCGCCUGAGGCAUGAGGCGGCGCGCUCGGGGGAGGUGAUGUGACUUCCCCAGAGUAGUGAACGGUGUGUCAGUACUUACCGGUCAGCUACACUGAGCUUCUUUCCUUUUGGGGGAGAAUCCAGUUCCAGGUGUUUGGCAAUGGCAGAGGCAGAAGCAGACACUAUCAGCAAGUUUUAGCACCCUUGACAGCCACUACUGAUGAUUAUGUUACAUCACUGAAAAGGAUGGAAUUACUCACAUAUCCUCAGGUAAGUGUCUUUGGGUUAUUCAUCUGCUCUCAGAUUAAACAUUACUGUCAAUAGCACAAGAUGAAAUUUGCGUUACUGUAAUAAUGGCAUUGUCUUUUUUUUUUUCCUUUUGGUGGACAAG